GCUUUAAUUAACCGACCCAAAGAGACCUACCAAUUUAAACCGAUAGGAACAACAAACCUCUAUAUGGGCCGACAAUUUAGGUUGGGGUGACCUCGGAGAACAGAACAACCUCCGAGUGAUUUAAAUCAAGACUUACCAGUCAAAAGUAUUACAUCACUUAUUGAUCCAAAAACUUGAUCAACGGAACAAGUUACC
rnacentral:rRNA from 1 species